rnacentral:rRNA from 1 species
CACGUAGGGGGCGAGCGUUGUCCGGAAUCAUUGGGCGUAAAGAGCUCGUAGGCGGCUCAGUAAGUCGGGUGUGAAACCCCCAGGCUCAACCUGGGGACGCCACCCGAUACUGCUGUGGCUAGAGUCCAGUAGGGGAGUGUGGAAUUCCCGGUGUAGCGGUGAAAUGCGCAGAUAUCAGGAGGAACACCGGUGGCGAAGGCGGGUCUCUGGGCCGAUACUGACGCUGAGGAGCGAAAGCGUGGGGAGCGAACAGG